CAUUAACAUAACUAGGUCUUUCCUCUACCAGGUCCUCCCAGUCUUGAAGAGAUUAACUGAGAGUCUCGCACCUCUUAAAGGAUUGAAUAGGAAACAUUUGCCAUCUAUGGUCUGAAAGGCCUGCCACCUAUAGACUACUGGAAACUGCCUGCUUCACUGCAUAAGAUGGGGGUCUCACCUGCCAUGUUGCCCAUGCUGGACUCCAACUCCUGGGUUCAAGUGAUCCUCCUGCGUCAGCCUCCUGAGUAGCUGGGGGAACUAUAUGUGCAAGUUUGUUCAUUUUAAAGGUGGCUUUGCCCAGUAAUCUCUAGCUGGGAGCAUCCACUGACCCUAGGAGCUAAUGCACAGGGGAGGAUGAGAGGUACUCCUGGGAGGGUGAGUGCCUUUGGGUUAUCUCAGUCCCUGGCACCUUCACGGGGGGGUGGGCAGGCAGAUGAGCUGUCAUUCUAGAAAGUGCCAGCUAUGCCUGCACACUCCUCUCAGCCUCGAAGGCACACACCCUAAGCUCUGAAUCAAAGGUAGGGCUGCUGCCCCAAAGCCGAUGUGGCUUGUUAAGAACUUGAGAGACUGUAGGUCAUGCAGUCACAAGGGCAUCCACCAGAGAUGGGGACAACCAACAGGAGACCUCAGCCUUGGUGCAGGCAGUCUAAUGAGGGGCCCAGCAGUGCUGUUAUGACAAAGGGCUCUGAGUCAGCAACGCAGCUUGUUGGUGGAGCUACUGAGCAAAGCCUCUUACCUUCUCUGCUUCUUCAAGGCCCAGUGCUUUAUCUGUCAAAUUUGGAGAAGAUCUCUGCCUUGUAGGCUUUAAAUGUUUACUUAGUAGCUCUCAACUUCCUUUCUCUCUUGGCUCAAAUUUUGAAUGUUGGGGCAGGAAACUACUACUGAAUAUCAUUUACUUGAGAUUUCCCUUGUGGCCCAUUAGAAGGAGUGUGUGUGUGUGUGUGUGUGUGCAUGAGAGAGACACAGAGAGAACACACCAAAGGCCACUGUGGGUGAGGGUGGGGUGUUUGGAUGAACACCAGUCUGGAAGAAUCAGGACCCCUGGACUUCUAGGCCUGACCCCACUGCUCCCUGGUCAUGUGGCUUUGGGGAAGCCACUCUAACCUUUCUAGGCCUCAUUUUCUCCAUGUCUAAAAUGAAUACCAUAAAUAAGAAGUAAUUUCUAGUGUAUUAUGCUACUCAAACUUCUGUUCUCAUUUGUUUUUGUGUGUACCUUCUGCAUGCCAGGAACUAAUUCACAGCAUGAAACAAGCCCCUGCAGUCCCAACUCUUAGCAGCCCGUUCCCCCUGGGAGAGGUCAGGUCACACCCAGAUAGACAGCUCUACAACGGAAGGUAGAGGUGAUGAGCAGCAUGCAGGCAAUACGGCAAUACAGCGAGGCAGGGGCGUGGAGAGCGAUGGGCAGGCGCUGUUUGAGCAGGGAGCUUAAGCACUUGAGGCAGUGAGUCCAGAGUGUGGCCUGAGCACGGAGGGGCAGGAAGUGGGCCUGAGGCAAGGAGAUUGGAUUUCAUUCUAAUGGGAGGGCUUUGUUUUUAUUUCCGCCUUCAGAGCUGUAUUUCAGUCCAUGUGCAGCAGGUUAAAACACUGCUCCUCCCAUCUCCUUCCCCACUCUGUGGUGGUGGUGGUGGUGGUUUUGACACUGAAGGGUGGAACCCGGAGGUUGGGGUGAGGAGGAGGGAAGGAUGGAGAGGGUCUGGCAGGGCUUCUUGGAGAGCAUGUGGAGUUGAUGGCAGCGGAAAGAGGCAGGAAAGGGCAUGCAUUCCAGUUCAUCUUGUAUUUCCAAGCUCUGAAGUCACUAUUUAGAAGAAGGAGAUAAGCCCUAUUUCCUCCACUUUUCCCUUUUCCCUUGUAUUUUCUCCUGGAGUUAGAACACAGAGAGAAUUGAUGUCAAUGCCUAUGAUUUGUCUCUCAGCUAACUUUUAAAGUAUUUGCAAGGCUGAAUGAUUAUGUGUUGUGCAUCAAGUGUUCCUGUAUUAUCUCCCAAAGCCAUUUUUUUCCAUGAAACCUUUUGAAAUCAAAGAAGAGAAUCACAACUCUCCUGGCCUCAGGUUUUUCCUGAGGUGGCAGAGGUGUGGCGUGGACAGGGUGGGCUGGUACAAGUGGGAACCUAUUUUCCAGAAGGGUGAGUUCAAAGGCUCAAAAAUAAAGAAGCAAUAAAAUAAAAAAAUAAGCAAAUAAAAGAGCAAGGCUGGGGCUGGAUAAAUGAAUCUAAAGAAAGCAAAGAGCAAACACAAAAGACCCACAUUGCUCAGCUACUUCCCAGACCUCCAAUCAGCAUCAGCCCCUCCAUUACCUAAACUUGGGCCAAGUUGAAAGACUCGAAUUAACUGGCUUUUGUUUUGUCUUUUCUCACAGCUCACCUUCCCUAGAAGCCUGGAGUGGAGGGUGAGUCCCAGAGGAUGGGGAGCAGGAGGGAGGACAGAAAUGUGGACAGAGUGAUGCCCACUCCCUAAUUAGCUCCAUAAUGUCUGAGACUUGAGCUUGAACUUGCUUUCUGUAAGCAAAAGUGGCCCUCUGGCCAUCCCUAAAUACUCAACCAAAGACACUGCCCAAUCCUCAGCAGUACAGAUAAAUGCCCUUUUCAAGAUUUAUCCAUGUGGACCACACUGCACAUAGAUGCCACUCCCUGACUCAAAACCUUCAAAAGUAUCAUAAGGGCCAGUAAGAUUUGAUCCAGGUGGUAUUCCUAGCUGUCUCCUGCCCAUCUUCUCCCAUCGUUCUCUCCCAGCCUCCUUGGUUUCUCUUUUACUUGAAUAGCACAUUCCUCCCUAGGGCCUUUGUAUUUGCUGUUUCCUUGGUCCAGAAGGGUCUCCCUCAGUCAUGCACUUGGCUCCCUCUCAUUUCAUUGAGGACCGUGCUCCAACUUCUCCUUCUUGGGGUCUCUCUGGCUCUCCCAGAUAGCUUGUCCCUCCUGUAAGAAUAUUUAUCUGUCUGUGUGCAUAUCGUCUAUCUCCUUCAUUAGGAUGUAAGCACAGGAGGCACAGGAAGUCGUCUAUUUUAGUCAUCACUGUAUCCGUAGCACUGCAAAUGGUUCCUAGCACAUAGUUGGC
rnacentral:lncRNA from 1 species